CUUGCUCCCGUUAGAGGAAGUAAAAGUCGUAACAAGGUCUCCGUUGGUGAACCAGCGGA
rnacentral:rRNA from 1 species